GAUGAACGCUGGCGGCGUGCCUAAUACAUGCAAGUCGAGCGAACAGAUGAGGAGCUUGCUUCUCUGACGUUAGCGGCGGACCGGUGAGUAACACGUGGAUAACCUACCUAUAAGACUGGGAUAACUUCGGGAAACCGGAGCUAAUACCGGAUAAUAUAUUGAACCGCAUGGUUCAAUAGUGAAAGACGGUUUUGCUGUCACUUAUAGAUGGAUCCGCGCCGCAUUAGCUAGUUGGUAAGGUAACGGCUUACCAAGGCGACGAUGCGUAGCCGACCUGAGAGGGUGAUCGGCCACACUGGAACUGAGACACGGUCCAGACUCCUACGGGAGGCAGCAGUAGGGAAUCUUCCGCAAUGGGCGAAAGCUUGACGGAGCAACGCCGCGUGAGUGAUGAAGGUCUUCGGAUCGUAAAACUCUGUUAUUAGGGAAGAACAAAUGUGUAAGUAACUAUGCACGUCUUGACGGCACCUAAUCAGAAAGCCACGGCUAACUACGUG
rnacentral:rRNA from 1 species